UGAAACUAACGUUCUGAAAAAGGGUUGGAUCCGACGCCUUUUGAAGGCUACUGUAGGCUGUCCUUCUCAACUCCUACUCAAUACGUCCACGUCGUGCAGAACGGUAACUUGUCGCCUAGAUCCAAGCUUGGGUACACGGGGAAACCCAACCCCUUGGGCGGAUGGGCGGCAAGGCUGAAAUGAGAGGU
rnacentral:ribozyme from 1 species